rnacentral:tRNA from 1 species
GGGGUUAUAGUUUAAUAUAUAACAUUUAAUUUGCAAUUAAAAAAUACUAAAUUUUAAAAUUAGUUUACCUCA